rnacentral:rRNA from 1 species
GACGAACGCUGGCGGCGUGCUUAACACAUGCAAGUCGAACGGAAAGGCCUGUCCUUCCUUGUGUUGGACGGGUACUCGAGUGGCGAACGGGUGAGUAACACGUGAGUGAUCUGCCCCCAACUUGGGUAUAAGCCUGGGAAACUGGGUCUAAUUCCCGAUAGGACUGCAGGGUGGUGCCUGUGGUGGAAAACGAUUUUCUAGUGGUUGGGGAUGAGCUCGCGGCCUAUCAGCUUGUUGGUGGGGUAAUGGCCUACCAAGGCGGCGACGGGUAGCCGGCCUGAGAGGGUGGACGGGCACAUUGGGACUGAGAUACGGCCCAGACUCCUACGGGAGGCAGCAGUGGGGAAUAUGGCACAAUGGGCGGAAGCCUGAUGCAGCGACGCCGCGUGGGGGAUGACGGCCUUCGGGUUGUAAACUCCUUUCGACCGCGAGGAAGCCGCCUGGUUGGAAGGGUGGUGACGGUAGUGGUAGAAGAAGCACCGGCUAACUACGUG